rnacentral:sRNA from 1 species
AUCGACAUUCAUGUCGGGAUAGCGGCGCAGAAACUGAAGCACGAGUGGUGAGAUGAUGGCGCGC